AGUCUUGACUGUUCCUUUUAGUGAUUAAUGGCUGCGAGGACGCCAAAUGCAACUAAGAGGAGGGAGGUGACGCAUGGAUCACAGAUCGAUCCCUGCUUACAGUGAAGGAUCAUGCAUUUCAUCAUUUGGGCCAUAAAGUGGCACAUGGACGGAGACGCGCGCGCGGGAUGUGCGCAUGCAGCCUCCAUGUGGGUGACUGACAGAUCUGCUGCACUGCAGUGGCUCCUCCGCGGCUUCCGCCGCUCUGCUCCUGUCGUGCAAAACUCCCCACACGACGAUCACGUCUGUGCGUGUAUCUACCGAUGUGGCUUUGUGGUGAGAUUUGUGUCAGCAGCGGGACCGCUGAGAUGCUGAUGCUGCUCCUUUGUUGUCCCCUCGCAUCCAUUUGAUAAAACUGUGCCUCUGUCGAUGGAUUUGUACUUAAAAAAAUAUAAUUGAAAUGUUAAUAAAUGCUAAUGACAGCUCAUUGGUACUAAUAGAGGCAAAAAAAUAUUCAGAUGCAUUUGGGUGAAGCUGUACGUCAGUCAAUCCAAAUCGUUACGCAUUUCUACAUAAAAUAGUUUCAGUCAUUGUCUUUAAAGUAGCUUCAAAACAGUUUUUCUUUCAAGCCCAGAAAGUGGGUGGAGAGUCGCUUUUGCUCGCGCCUCUGCACCGCCGCAUCAACCAGAACUAGUUUAAACUGGAUCAUCUGAGGCAACCUGCUAUUGAUAAGCUUACAUCCACCCCCCAAUUUUUCCCCCUUCCUCUCCUCCCAGCAGGAGUGCUGCGGUGAAGGAGGAGGGUCGAAACAUCCUGCUGAAUGUCCUCACUCCGCACCCUGAAAAAGAACCUCUCUUUCAAAAGGAUUUUCUAAGCAUCAGCAGCAUAGACCGGUGAAGUGAUACUGUGGGCAUGCGCAAUUCAUUCACGUUAUCAGGAUAAACGCUGUGAGUAAAAGUUGAACAUUUCUAAGCAACAGCUCCAUGGAUGCAUCCAGAGACGAUGAAAAGCCUCUGUCAGGAGAACAAGCCUGGGAGUGAGUGGGAGAAAAGGCUGAGAAACAAAAGAGGAGGCUGCUGACAACAAGGAGUGAGAGUGAUUCAGUGCAAAACUCUGUCGCCUCAUGCUUCAGCUUUCAUCCCUUCCUCCAUCCAGACAACCUGCAGGCUGGAGCUGCCUCAGCAGGACAGCUGUGGUGCAGAGUGAAGGAAUUUAGUGCUGGCGGUGCACAUUGAUGCUUCAAGGCUGACAGUGCUGCCAGGUCACUGCAGCUAUAAAGCAGGUUAGGAGUGCUGCAAUGCUGCGACAGUUGCUGCCAGCCUCUCAUUCGUCAGAGCGCCUCCUGCUGCAGAGCACCAAGAUCUGCAGGAUUCUGUUUCCUUUGCAGUAAUCCCUGCUGUACAUAAAUAAAAAUGUGAGUGUGAGUGGGAGACGAUGAGGUCAGCAAAAACAGCAGGACCCUCCCUCCCACACACAAACACAAUGACACCCGCUCAUGCAGUGAAAACCACUACAAGGUAAUUAGAGCAUUAGAAUGAGGCUCGAGGGGGAUUGAAAAAAACGGUCAAAACAAAGCUUUGCUAUUAAAAGCAUCCAUCCUCAGCUGUCUGCCAAAUUCCUAUUUAGCAAAGAAAUAAGCACACAAUAUCCUGGACUAAUGGUGAUUCCUGAUGUCAUCAUGGAUUUUACACACGGUUCUUGUUUGGUUUUGUUUCCCCAUUGACCGUAUUUAAGAAUAGACCGAAUGAGGAGAAAAUAACUUACUUCUGGCUCCAACCAAAUGAAGUUAAUUCAAUCGUCCACAUUUUUGCGAAACGAUCAUGUUAGAACCAGAUGACAUCAGAAGGCAGUAAUUGGUCAGAGUGAGCUUGUUGCAAGUCCACACCCGACUGCUGAAAGCAGACUCUGGAGAAUCUGUCAAUCAUACGACUCAAACGUUAUACUUGAGACCGCAAACUUUUAUUGAAGCAUCUGAUCAGUCAGUCUAUAACUCGAAUAACUUGGACUACAGAAAAAAAUCACAAAAACAAAUUAGAAUUAGCAAGAAAAUUAAAAAAAAAAGUAUCAGAGCACGAACUAAGACAAAUAGAAUGACUGAGUAACAGCUGUCAAUUUCUUUAUAGAAGUCUAUGGGAUUUUGGCUUCUUGGAGCCAGUGGGUACUUCCUGUUUGGAAGGUGAGAGGGGUGGGGUCACUCUGACCAAGUUUCAUAUAAAGUCAGUGGGUUCACGACAGCAAAUCCCUCAUGUGAUUUACCUUUAGUUUUAAAGGGGAUGGCCCAUUCUAACCCAAAGGGUCCUUCUCGUUUUCUAUAUUUACUGGGACUGGCACAUGGAAACACUGAACAGCACCCCAGUGGGGUUGCACUAACUCACAGCACCAAGUCAAAAGUGGUCUAAGUCAAAUCAGUUCCUUGGGUUUAUAUAUGUGUAUUUUAUGUCACCACUAUGUUUGGACUUUUCAACAAACAUGUCAUUGAAUUUUUUGUUAUUUCAGAAAAUGCAAAUCAUGCUUACAGAUGCAAACUGAAGAAAUUGGUUCAUUAGCACACGCAGUUCACAUAGAAAACGAGUGCAGUCCUCCUGUCAAUAACACUGCUUUUAUGGUCACAAAAAGAAACCUGAUUACAGACAGAAACCUGAAAAUAAAAAUAUAGCAGUGCUGCACAGCAUUCAUAUAAUAAAAAAUUGUUCCUGAAAACUAUUUUUCCGUUUGCAGCUCAAUCUCCAAAACAAUGUGUGGGCAUGUUUUGCAGCAGCUCCUUAAAAUUCCAGCAGGUUCUCUGCACCAUCAGUGCAGACUUUGUUAUGAGGAGCUCAGUCACAGAAUUAGCGGAUUGGACCAUUAGUGAGGUAAUGACAGGGCAGAAAAUCCCUAGCUUGUUCGUUUAGCCAAUCUUUUAUAACCGUUCUGCGAAACUGAGCAAAACAACCUGGAUUAUGUCCUAAUUGUGGUGCUUUUAGUGGAGAAAGUUCAAGCUCAUGCAAUCUCAAACUGCAGCUCCUUUCUUUGAAGCACUUUUGGUGAAGGUUAUUAGGAACAGAGGGGGGGGGG